rnacentral:rRNA from 1 species
AGAGUUUGAUCAUGGCUCAGAUUGAACGCUGGCGGCAUGCUUAAUACAUGCAAGCCGAACGGUAACAGAUUCUUCGGAAUGCUGACGAGUGGCGGACGGGUGAGUAAUACAUAGGAAUCUGCCCAUGUAGUGGGGGACAACUUGGGGAAACUCAAGCUAAUACCGCAUAAUUCCUACGGGAUAAAGAGGGCCACUGCUUGCAAGCUCUUGCUACUGGAUGAGCCUAUGUCGGAUUAGUUAGUUGGUAAGGUAAUGGCUUACCAAGACAGCGAUCCGUAGCUGGUUUGAGAGGAUGAUCAGCCACACUGGGACUGAGACACGGCCCAGACUCCUACGGGAGGCAGCAGUAGGGAGUAUUGGACAAUGGGCGCAAGCCUGAUCCAGCAAUGCCGCGUGUGUGAAGAAGGCCUGCGGGUUGUAAAGCACUUUCAAUUGGGAAGAAAGAUUAUGAGUUAAUACCUUAUAAUAUUGACGU